CUCCUCUGACCUAUAGUCACUGCUGCCUUUGCAGGUGUGCAUGAUGGGAGUCUGACCAGUUCAGUUUGGUUAAUAGCUGCUCUUCACAUUCAGCUUAGCACUGGUUUUACGUCCAGCUUUUUCUGUGGUUGGAAGCUGACAGCGGAGCUCGUCUCAAACAGGGUUUCCCAGCUGCCUCCAGGCUCCAACGUUUGUCUCCGUCUCCCCGUCCUGGUCUUUCCGUGGCUGUGGGCGUCCGUAGAACAGCAACAGGACACAGAACCGGGACAUCCCACGCCACCACCACAGACAUGUCGGACUCAGAGACUGCCCCCGCCGAGGCCCCCGUCCCCGCCGCUUGCACCAACAUCAAGGCAGACCUGGACAAAUGUGUGGCAGAGAAGGGAGCUGAGGGCUGCAAAGACCUAAUGGAAGCCUUUGCUGCAUGUGUGAAGAGUGCAGCAGAAGGAACAUCAUGAGGAGUCGCCCCCCAGCCGUAAAUGUCCACUUCCAGUCCUACAUGUUCCCAGCAUUCCCUUCUGCACAGCAGCACUGGAUUCAACAACGAUGAUGAAGAAGACGAUGAUGAUAGCAGGACAAAUGCUGCCUCGACUGGUCUGAGUGUGGGAUGUGGCUGCAGUAACUAGUGUUCCCUCCCCCGUUCGUCCCCGUUUAGGCCUUUUUUCCGUCAUUCCCCUCCUCCCUCUGCAGUCCGCUCGGAGUUCCAGAGAACCGACGGGCUGUGAUCUAACAUGUCGACUUGAGAUGUAAGCCUAUAAAUGGAAAUAAAAGUACAAACAAUUGUUACCAAAA